ACACUGUAGCGGCUGAUUCAUUCUCUAGUUUCAUGUUUGUAAUUCACAUUACACAUUCGUAUGCAAAUAUUGCUACAUGCUAACAAUUUGCAUUUUUUACUAUACGAACUUACAGCGGUUUGUUUACAACAAAUUUCACGAGGAAAGAAAUACACUGCGAAUAAUUGCCAGAAUGCCUACUCCUGGAACAGAUGUCUACAAGACGAUUAUGGCCAACGACCAAUGCGAGACUAAAGGAGUGUGACGUUGAGUCGCAAUGGCCGAAUACAAUCAGCAUCCUGCCAUUUAUUCACUUGCAACUUGCUACAGCGCCCCAGACAUUAACUGUGAUCACCACGAAGCGUUUUCCAAAAUUGACUGCAACCACGGAACCUCAAAUGAUCUGGCCACGGUAUUCAAGCUACGAUACCAUUUCGCCUGUGAAUAACAGGUAACAUCGCCGCAAAAUUUAUGGUGGUAUUGCAGGAUGUAAUCUUCUCUACAUUUUACAGUAUUUUUCUGGAAGUCAGUUUGGACACUAACAAAAUGCAUCCACCAUCAACAAUGGCCGUCUGCUCCAGUUAAUUUUAACAGUUUCCUUUCCAAUGAUUAAUUUCAAUCUUUAGUUACAACCAAUGGCGUUAUUAAAGCGAUCUAUGUGCGGGCAAGAAAAAUAUGUAUUGGAGGCUUAAUAAACACCAGAAGUCGGUAACAGGCAUUAAAUUAAAAUAAUCCUGUAAGUGGCUGCUGCACGUUUUGAAGAGAAAAAGGAUGCUGUUACCACAAUUCAACGUAUUCCAUUGUCGGCAAGAAGCAAAAGAAGCAGAAUCGAAAUUUUGGCUGUUUACAAUAAAAGCAGUUUUUUCUAACUUUUGCAGGAAAACGCCUUUCUACGCCACAGGCUCGAUCAGUCAUACGUCAUUGUUGAGGAAGAAUAAACGCUUAUUAUCAUGAGAUGUUUGGACAUCGAAAGCAACCCACUUAGGAAAAAAGUGCUUGCAAUAUUGUCGUUUGAAGACAACACUCUCGGAGAAGAUUUACUGAAGACUUGUGAUGAUUUCAUGACAAAAUCACACAUUAGUUACGAUAAAAUGAUGUCUCUUCAACUGACGGGGCGGAGACUCUGCGGUGAUCUGCAAAGAAAGGGACAAGCAGGGCUUAGUGAAAAAUUAGUGCCGCUCUGAAAGAAGUAAUGGACAAGUUGAUCAAACUGACUAAUUUCAUGAGAUCUCGGUUUGCUCCUCAGCACAGACAGUUAGGAGUUUCUGUCUGACAAUGAGUGUGAUUCGUCGCCUUCAUUCUUACUGCAGCACAAAUGUUCUUUGGCUAGUAAGAACAAUAGGGUGCGUAUAUAUAGUGAACAGACCUGAAUAAUGCUUCAAAAUGUUUUGGUAAACAAACUAAGACGUAACCUCCUUAGACAAUACGAGAAGUAUCUCGAUUUCGUAGCAAAUGAACGCAAUAUUCUAGCUGUGGCUUUCCUGAAAUGCGUUCUGAAAGAUUUAAAUGCGCUCAGUGCCGAGCUACAAGGAAAUGGGAAAUUAAUAUGUGAUCUGAUACGAAGUGCAUCUUCUUUCCGUCGCAAGGUGGGCAUCUUUGAAAAGACACUGCAGGUCAAGAAAUAUUCACUUUGCAACAUUUAUUGAAGAUGAAUACAAUUCUGAAGCAGGUACUUCAGUAUUUUCAAAUUUACGUCAGAUCCUAGAAAGCAAUUUGCAGCGAGAUUCCAAGCCUUUGCAGGGAUAGAGUAGUGGAUACGAUUUUAAAAAUCGCCUUUUGAAGAUUUUAUAGUUCCAGAAUGGUCUGAUGUGUCUGCUAACUUCUUCGGCCUUUCAAAGCCUUUACUCCAAUUGGAGAUAACAGAAUUGCAAGAAGACAUUUCCUUGCAAGCGUAUAUAACCGCAUCCACCAAAGAAUUUUGGAGUUAACGUGUCCCAGAAAAACAUGAAACUUGCAAAAAAGUAAUCCAUUUACCUGGCUACUAUGUUUGACUCCACAUCUGUUUGUUAAACAAUGAAUGUCGAUAGAGAUAAACAGCCGCCGACUUUAAGACAGUCUUCGCACAAGCUGCUCCCUGCGUGAAUCUAACUUUAAAAAGUGGAUCAAGCCCGCAAAUUUAACAUAUGCCACUGAUUUUUCAAUACAAUUAUAACUAUGUAUUGUAUUUCAUAUUACUCAGUAAAA